CACAUGAUUGUGCCACAUGUC
rnacentral:siRNA from 1 species